CAGUCGCCGCGGUAAUACAGAGGGUGCGAGCGUUAAUCGGAUUUACUGGGCGUAAAGCGUGCGUAGGCGGCUUCUUAAGUCGGAUGUGAAAUCCCUGAGCUUAACUUAGGAAUUGCAUUCGAUACUGGGAAGCUAGAGUAUGGGAGAGGAUGGUAGAAUUCCAGGUGUAGCGGUGAAAUGCGUAGAGAUCUGGAGGAAUACCGAUGGCGAAGGCAGCCAUCUGGCCUAAUACUGACGCUGAGGUACGAAAGCAUGGGGAGCAAACAGGAUUAGAUACCCGAGUAGUCCCUGUCUCUUAGAA
rnacentral:rRNA from 1 species